rnacentral:misc_RNA from 1 species
UCUUAAGAAGAUUGUCACUACAAAAGAAUCAAUGGGAGAGAUUAUGAAAACCUCUUCAUUUGCCCUGACCGAAGCAAAGUAUGUUGCUGGUGAAAACAUCAAGCACGUUGUCCUUGAGAAUGUCCAGAAUGCAUCUCUUAAGGUUCGAUCCCGGCAAGAGAAUGUUGCUGGUGUGAAGCUUCCCAAGUUCGAGUAUUUCACAGAUGGUGAUACCAGGAAUGACCUCACAGGAUUGGCCAGAGGUGGUCAACAGGUCCAGGCCUGCCGUGCUGCCUACGUCAAAGCAAUUGAGCUUCUUGUUGAGCUUGCUUCACUUCAGACAUCAUUUUUGACGCUUGAUGAGGCGAUCAAGACCACUAAUCGCAGGGUCAACGCACUGGAGAACGUUGUGAAGCCAAGAUUGGAAAAUACUAUUAGUUACAUAAAGGGGGAGUUGGAUGAGCUUGAAAGGGAAGAUUUCUUCAGGUUGAAGAAGAUACAAGGUUAUAAGAAGAGGGAAAUUGAGAAACAGCUUGCUGCUGCCAAGC